rnacentral:rRNA from 1 species
UACAGAGGGUGCAAGCGUUGUCCGGAAUUAUUGGGCGUAAAGAGCUUGUAGGCGGUUUGUCGCGUCUGCUGUGAAAUUUCGGGGCUCAACCCCGAACUUGCAGUGGGUACGGGCAGACUAGAGUGUGGUAGGGGAGACUGGAAUUCCUGGUGUAGCGGUGAAAUGCGCAGAUAUCAGGAGGAACACCGAUGGCGAAGGCAGGUCUCUGGGCCACUACUGACGCUGAGAAGCGAAAGCAUGGGGAGCGAACAGG